rnacentral:lncRNA from 1 species
AUGCAGGUGCUGGUGGGGUGCAGAGCUGAGCAUCUUCCUGGCUCUACCAGGGCUGUCCGUGAGCUCGGCACUGCUGCAAGGGACGGCAGAGCCCAACGCAGGGCUGUGAAUGUGGGGGUCCUGUGCUCCUUCCUGGAGCCAUCUACCCCCUGUUCACCCCAGUUUUCUUGUUGGAUGGGGGGGAAAUGGCCUCGUUGGUUCGCGAUCACCCGUGUGGAUGAAGCCUCCAGUGGGGAGAGGGAGACAACGAGGAAAAUGACAAAAAGGAGCAUGCUCACACCAGUGCAGUGGAGCAGUCAGGAUGCGAGUGAUGGGAAGGGUUCAGCCAGCAAAACCCUGCAGAGGAGCGGAGGGUGGCCGUGCCCGACACUUUGCCAUGUAAACCUCCCCGGCCUCGCACACCGCAGCACAGACAGAUGUCGGCACAGCCCCGGACCUGCAGAACGGCGCAUGGGAGAAU